CCGAGGCAGCGGGCUGGAGGGAGUGCCGCCCCCCACCCCCUUGUGCGCUGUGAGUGGGCAGCUGUCCGAGGGACCGGAACUGCUCGCCUAGAGGUGGAUGGGUUGUGAGAGUCGGCCACUCUUGUCUGUCUCUCCCUUGUCUCCAGCUAGGCACCUCCCCUGAUCCGUGUACCUCUUGGACUUGCGAAGGCCAAGGCUGCCUUGGGGAAUGGCAAAAAACCAGAAGGGAAGUAUCUCAUAAGCAACUGCAGGAGCUGGUAACUGUAGAAGAGGCCAGAUACUUCUUUUUCUGAAAUCUUGUCAACCUGCCAUUUCAGCAGUUGUGCUCGUUGAAUGCAGAGGAUCUGGAAGAAAUUCUGAGGCAGCUUUCUGAAGUGGCAGAGACACAUGGCGGAAGGAGCUGGGAUUCCUGAGUCACCAUGUGGAAGAGAGCCAAACAAGAUGGAUGCCUGACCUGCAUCUGACUUUUUUGUGUUAAGCCACUGUUUUGGGGUUGUUUGUUCCAGCGAUUAGCAUUAAUUACCCUGAAAAACGUAUCACCAACAGUAGUUCUUUUUUAGAAAGUACAUUUAGUCCAUUAAAAUAAAAAAGUCUGUCUCCUUUAGCCCAGAAAUUACUCUUUCAGAAAGCAAACAUAUAAAAAUAACAUCAUCAGAAUGCAAAGAUACAUUUGUGAUGAUACGUUUGCAAUAGGAAAAAAAGUCAAACUGUAUUUUCAUUCAUGGGGAAUAGUUAAAUAAAUUAUGGCAUAUUGAUUUGACUAAACAGUACACAGCCCUUAAGAAGCAUGAUCUAGCUAUAUGCGUGGACCUGGAAAGAUGCCAACCAGAUAAAGUUAUUUACAUAAGAAAGUUCAAACCAUUAUCUACAGCAUGGUUUCUCUUUAUUAAAGUUACAUUUAUAGAUUUUUAUGCACUUACAGAUGUGAAUAAACAAGGAUAAAUUAGGAAAAUAGUUUACAUAACUUUUAUUUUUUCUUAAACAGUAGUUAUCUGUUAGGUAGAUUUCAAAAAGAUAGUCCCAGUUAUUCAUCUCUCUCCUAUCCAAGCAUUUUGCAAUGUGGGUUUGCAGUUCCUCCCAUCAGGAGGUGGAGUCUGUUUCCCUUACCAUCAGUCAUGAUUGGUACUGGAAUUUUCCUUGGACAAAAGAAAAUAGUGAAAAUUGCAACAUGUUAGUUUCAAGCCUCAGACUUAAGAGGCCUAGCAUAUAUCCAUGCUCUUUUUAAAGCCCGGUCACAAUCCUAACAACAAGAGCAGACCAGCACACUGGAAGAGACCACCAAGAUCAGCAAAGCCAGCCAGCAGCUGAUCUGACAGCUAACUGCAGAAAUACAAGCAGACCUAGCUGAGACCAGAAGAGCUGCCCAGUCACACUACAGACUCCUCUCUCACUCCCUUCCCUUCUUCAUCCCUUCUUCUUUCUCUCUUUCAAUGUAUAUAUUUAAUUGCCAUAAAUGAUGUAGGGUGCCCUGAUAGCCCGUGACAUCUACCAGGAUUAAGCCUGCAGUCACUGA